UACGAAGGGGGCUAGCGUUGCUCGGAGUCACUGGGCGUAAAGCGCACGUAGGCGGCUUUUUAAGUCAGGGGUGAAAUCCUGGAGCUCAACUCCAGAACUGCCUUUGAUACUGGGAAGCUCGAGUCCGGGAGAGGUGAGUGGAACUCCGAGUGUAGAGGUGAAAUUCGUAGAUAUUCGAAAGAACACCAGUGGCGAAGGCGGCUCACUGGCCCGGUACUGACGCUGAGGUGCGAAAGCGUGGGGAGCAAACAGG
rnacentral:rRNA from 1 species